CAGUAGCCACGGGAAUACGAAGGGUGCAAGCGUUAAUCGGAAUUACUGGGCGUAAAGCGUGCGUAGGCGGUGAGUUAAGUCUGCUGUGAAAUCCCCGGGCUCAACCUGGGAAUGGCAGUGGAUACUGGCUCGCUAGAGUGUGUCAGAGGAUGGUGGAAUUCCCGGUGUAGCGGUGAAAUGCGUAGAGAUCGGGAGGAACAUCAGUGGCGAAGGCGGCCAUCUGGGACAACACUGACGCUGAGGCACGAAAGCGUGGGGAGCAAACAGGAUUAGAUACCCCCGUAGUCCCUGUCUCUUAUAC
rnacentral:rRNA from 1 species